GACGAACCGUGCGAACGUUGUUCGGAAUCACUGGGCUUAAAGGGCGCGUAGGCGGCCCGCGAGGUCGGGGGUGAAAUCCCACGGCUCAACCGUGGAAGGGCCUCCGAUACCGGCGGGCUGGAGGAAGGUAGGGGUGCGCGGAACUUCUGGUGGAGCGGUGAAAUGCGCAGAUAUCGGGAGGAACACCAAUGGCGAAGGCAGCUCGCUGGGACGUUACUGACGCUGAGACGCGAAAGCGUGGGGAGCAAACAGG
rnacentral:rRNA from 1 species